rnacentral:lncRNA from 1 species
GUGCGAACGUCGGAGCUCAGAGUGGGAGUCAGAACAGGAAGCAACAGCUGCUCACACCUGGCCUCACCCCAAGGCGCUGGUGCUCACAGCACAGGCCCGGCGGGCAGCGCGGGACGGCCGUGUGGCUACCGGGCACUGGGACAAGUGAUUUUCCGCAGUUCUGUCCGGGUGCCUGUCCCAGGUUAUGACGACUAACCCCAAACCGAACAAGGCGUUAAAGGUCAAGAAGGAGGCGGGCGAGAACGCCCCAGUGCUCAGCGACGAUGAGCUGGUGUCCAUGUCGGUGCGGGAGCUGAACCAGCACCUGCGGGGCCUCACCAAGGAGGAGGUGGUCCGUCUGAAGCAGCGCCGGCGCACGCUCAAGAACCGCGGCUACGCCGCCAGCUGCCGCAUCAAGCGGGUGACGCAGAAGGAGGAGCUGGAGCGGCAGCGCGUGGAGCUGCAGCAGGAGGUGGAGAAGCUGGCGCGUGAGAACAGCAGCAUGAAGCUGGAGCUGGACGCCCUGCGCUCCAAGUACGAGGCCCUGCAGACCUUUGCCCGCACCGUGGCGCGCGGGCCCAUCACGCCCACCAAGGUGGCCACCACCAGCGUCAUCACCAUCGUCAAGUCCGCUGAGAUCUCCAGCUCCGUGCCCUUCUCGGCCGCCUCCUAGUGCCGGCCCCGGUUGGGCGAGGGGGCCGGCGGUGGGGCCAGAGGGGCUGUCCCUCGUGCUUGUUGGAGGGUCCCAUGGGGAGCAGACCCCUGAAACCCCGAGUCCAAGCACAGGCUCCCGUGGGGCUCCUGGCGGGGCGAGGUCACAGGGGCCUGAUGAAGAGUUAGGGGCCUGUGAGCCCGUGUGCCGCACGCCUGCCCACACGCCCACACACACGCACAUGCACACACACGCACCUCGCCUUCCUCUGGGCCCUGCCAGCUCUCUGCGGACUGUCUCUCUUCCGGAGCCUGUGUCCUGUGCCGGGGGAGUUGGGAUGUCUGCAGGGAGGGCCCUCAGCAGGUCCCUGGCCCUGUGGCCUGGGUGGCAAGGGCUCCGUCUUCCACCCCUCCCACCAGCAGCCUGUCAACACACGUCAGCGUGCCUGUCCCCCUGCCACCUCAGAAGAGCACCUGCAGCACCAGGGGCCUGGGAGGAGUGGCUGGUUGCAAGUGGUCCUGGGGGGGCCUGUGGGUGCAGGUGCAUGAGUGUUGUGAGUUUUCUCUCUGUGUCGGGGUGGCCGGAAGGAGGUCCCUAUUGAGGAGCAGUGGCAGCCUGGCCUGGGGACCCAGCCCCCACU